CCUUUGGACUAUUCUUACAAUUGGUGUACACAGAAACUCCAGCCACAAAUUACUGCAAUUAAUCCAGAAACAAUAAGCCACUUAAUCAUUAAUCACUUUCAUAUAAGGGAUUAAAAACCUGUUUGGUUCUUCCUUAUAUCAUUAUUACCUGAGAAUUAAUAUAGCCUUGUGUCAGACUGUAAAAACAUGCCUUUCCAGUUUCCAGAUAAAGAAGACUUUUUACUAAAGAAGAUUUCACUGGAACGAGUUCCAAUAUUCAACACUGUUGUAAAAUGUUUUAUUUUACCAACUAGCCCUUUUAAAUCGUGUGUAGUAAACACGUGUCUAAUAUAUAACAGGGGUAAAAAGAGAAAGUAAACCAAAAAGUAGCGUUGGGUCUAUUUAUUCUGAUAAUUUCCGCCUAAAAAUCGGAGUUUCCCUCAAAAAAAUAUCUGCAUACAGCUCGUUUCUUGUUUGCACAGUGUCAUUUAGGUUAAGCCACCACCAAAGUAGCGAAUAUGAAAGCUAGAGAUAUGGAUGCAGUGGAGAUUGUUGAUGUGGACGAUGAGGAAGGGGAGGAGAAGGAGUGCGAGGACUGGUGCUUCGUCUGCAAAGAUGGUGGAAGCUUAAUGCUCUGUGACUACAAGGACUGUCCAAAAGUUUAUCAUGCUUCUUGCGUUGAAAAGAAUAUCUCAAUACAGAACAAUGAAGAAUCUUUGAUCUGUAUGUGGCACAGUUGCCACUUGUGUAACAAGAGACCAAAGCUGUUCUGUCUCUGUUGCCCACAUGCUGUAUGUCAAGGCUGUGUUACUCGUGCUGAGUUUAUGCACCUUAAAGAGAACAAAGGCUUAUGCAAUCAUUGCCAAGAGUAUGUCAUUACUUUAGAAGAGAUUCAAGAAUAUGAUGCUACUGGGGAUAAGAUUGACUUAACAGACAGGGAUACAUUUGAGUGUCUGUUUCUUGAGUAUUGGGAGAUAAUAAAGAAUCAAGAAGGGGUGACUUUUGAUGAUGUCAUUGCUUCAAAGUCAAGAACGAAAGCUGCUAAGGCUAAGUCAAGGUACAAAGAUGAUCCCAAGUUUGAGCUUCAUCAUGUCAACUCUUCAAAGUCACCAAAGAAAGGCAUCAAGAUCAAGGAUGAUGAUGAUGAUGGUCCAGAGUUUUCCUUAACUAAUUAUGGGGUUGAUGAUGUAGAAGAUUAUAAGACAACACUCAAACCAAAGAGAAUGGAGUUUAUUGGAUGGGGUUCAAAGCCUCUUAUUGAUUUCCUGACGUCCAUAGGGGAAGACACAAGAGAGGAGAUGUCUCAACACAGUGUUGAGUCAGUUAUCAGAAGAUACAUUCGUCAGAAAAACCUGCUUGAUGAUGAAAAGAAGAAGAAGAAAGUUCGGUGUGACGAGAAGCUGUUCUCUAUCUUCAGGAAGAAGUAUGUGAAUCAAAGGAGGAUUUACUCACUUUUAAAUGCUCAUUUUAAAGAGAACGUUGAGCAGUUGGAGUAUAUCACACUCUUGGAACGUGGCUUUGGUGAGAAGAAUGAGAAUGUUUCAGUGCCUUGCAAGAAGCAGAAGACAGAAACGUCAGAGGAUGAGGAACCUUGUGAGAAGGAAGUAAAACCUGAGAUGAGACCAACCGGUUUAGCUGCGAUCAGUGCAGAUAAUAUAAAGCUUGUUUAUCUACGCAAGAGCUUGGUCUUAGAGUUAGUGAAGCAGAGUGAGAGUUUUAGGAGCAAAGUGGUAGGAAGCUUUGUGAAAGUGAGGAAUGACCCUAGAGAUCCUGUAGCGUUCCAGAUCUUGCAGGUUACAGACAUCAAAUGUGUUGAUGACAAGGGCAUGUUUCUCUAUGUUGCUGGUAUAGCAAGUGAUGUUAGCAUUGCUAAGCUGGAUGAUUCUGACAUAACCAAGCUAAAACAUUUCCUCUUCAGGAAGAGGUUGAUGAUUUGAAGCAUAAAAUUAUGAGUGGCCUUCUAAGACAACCAACUAUUGUUGAGAUGGAGCAGAAGGCUAAGGUCCUCCAUGAGGAUAUAACAAAACAUUGGAUAACAAGGCAGCUUAUCAUUCUUCAAAAACGCAUCAACUGUGCUAAUGAGAAAGGAUGGAGAAAAGAAUUAGAGGAGUAUUUAGAGGAGAGAGAGCUUCUCCAAAAGCCUUCAGAGCAGGAGAGAUUGUUGAGACAAACUCCAAAGAUCAUUGAAGAACUCAUCGAGAUUGAACAAGAUCCACCAGCUGCAUCCUCAGAUAGCAGCAAACAAGGGAAUAUCAGUGGUCUGUCUCAGGAAGUGGUCAUGAUAGAUAUUGACUGAGAAGCCAAAGAUUCUGCAGCAUCCUCAAGAGGAAGAAGAUUGUUUUUUCUUGUACAUUUGUCCUUCUCUUCCAUUAGAACUUAUAAAAUUAUCGGCUAAUUCCUAAUGGCUCUUCUUUUGGUACUGACUAGCUUCUGUAGAAACAAGAAGCUUAUGACUUCCUGAGCUACUUAUGUUUUGUAAUGAUGGGUCUCAUGUAUGUAAUGUGCUAGUGACAUGGCAUGCUUUAUGUUUCA